GAAUAAAGAGUCAGUGAAGCAGCAGCGACUGGGCCUCUUCAGCUUCAGCUCUCACAUCACAAUAGCUGAUCACUUUUGAUCAGGGGGAGACAUUAAUCACAUCUGAUUAUGAGCAGAGUCUGGCAGUUCACGUCCAGACGACCUGCUCCCUCCAAGGUGAGGAAAGGACACGUCCACCACGCGACCAACGCAGAGCCUCGGCUUCGUCCGUCUGCUCCACAGCAGAGCUGCAUGUGCGGCGCCCAUCAGAACAAUGGGCAUCCCCGAUGGAGGAGGAUGGAGGAGGGAGGGAGGGAGGGAGGAAAUAAGUUGAGGGAGUGAGAGGGAGACGGAUCGGCCACGCCAACAGGAAAACACGCCUUUAAAUAAGCCUGAACGCUAACAGGUCUGAGCUCCUCCAGACACGCACCCGCCACCGCCACCGCCCAAAGCCCGUGAAGCGGCAGCACACAGAACCAGCGGACUCGAUGUCGAACAUCUGAUGCUUUUAGCUCGUUCCACACACAAAGAGGCAAAAGAACCUCCUCGCUGCGCCGUUAACGGCGACACCCACAAGUCACCGAGCGGCGCGAACAGACGAGACCCGACGUCCGAGCAGUCGUGUAUGAGCUACAUUAAUUAGCGAGCGCAGCAGCGGGGAGCGAGCACGGUCCCGUCCAGCUACGCCCAGCGUCAGUGAGUGCGCCCCGGCUCGAGCUCCGGCCAAGGGACGAGCGGACAAAGUCACGAAAACCGGGAGGGUGGAGAAAGACGGCAGAGAGGAGCAGGUCGAGUCGAGCCGACAGACAAGAAAGUGUGAAGCUCCGUCGCUCGGUCUCAGUGAUGCGGUGCGCGUUCCCUGGAAGGAAGAAAGGAGGAGACACGCGCGCGGUGAGAGCCCGGUGAGGGGAUGGAUGGGGGGGGGGGUCCGCUGCCUUCACGGGCUGCUGGAAAUCUCUCCAUUGCGACUCAUCCAGAGCCGUUACUUAAAAGAUCAUCACAGAAUAUUUCAUGUCUUAUAAAAGUUAUAAUAAAUGCUAAUGCUAGUGAGUAAAAUAACUAGUAAUGAAUAUAUUGUAUUUGUCAUUUUACCACCUUCCAUACACUGUACAAUUUCUUAUUAAUUUAUAGAUACCUAUGGAGGUUAUCCCGUUUUGAUUUCUCUUCUGUUUCUGUAUUUCAGUAAACCUACUAUUCUGUAUUGAUGCCUUUUUCUGUAUUUCUUGUUACACAGUUAUUACUGUUAUUUUCCCUUUUCUCUUGUCCUGUAAACUGUCAUACUGCUGCUGAAAACACACAUUGUGGGAUUAAUAAAGUCGUAAUUUAUCUCA